ensembl:miRNA MIR4472-2 microRNA 4472-2
UGGUGGGGGUGGGGGGUGUUGUUUUUGUUUUUGAGACAGAGUCUUGCUCCGUCGCCCAGGCCGGAGU